rnacentral:rRNA from 1 species
UGGGGAAUAUUGGACAAUGGGGGGAACCCUGAUCCAGCCAUGCCGCGUGUGUGAAGAAGGCCUUUUGGUUGUAAAGCACUUUAAGCGAGGAGGAGGCGCUCUUAGUUAAUACCUAAGAUGCGUGGACGUUACUCGCAGAAUAAGCACCGGCUAACUCUGUGCCAGCAGCCGCGGUAAUACAGAGGGUGCGAGCGUUAAUCGGAUUUACUGGACGUAAAGCGCGCGUAGGUGGCUAAUUAAGUCAAAUGUGAAAUCCCCGAGCUUAACUUGGGAAUUGCAUUCGAUACUGGUUAGCUAGAGUAUGGGAGAGGAUGGUAGAAUUCCAGGUGUAGCGGUGAAAUGCGUAGAGAUCUGGAGGAAUACCGAUGGCGAAGGCAGCCAUUUGGCCUAAUACUGACACUGAGGUGCGAAAGCAUGGGGAGCAAAACAGGAUUAGAUACCCUGGUAGUCCAUGCCGUAAAACGAUGUCUACUAGCCGUUGGGGCCUUUGAGGCUUUAGUGGCGCAGCUAACGCGAUAAGUAGACCGCCUGGGGAGUACGGUCGCAAAGACUAAAAACUCAAAUGGAAUUGACGGGGUCAUAGCUGUUUACCUG